UGGGUCAGCCAAAAUGUUCGCUUGGCUUUUUCCAUACUACCUUACAGAAAAACCUGAGUGAACUUUUCAGCUGAUCCAA
ensembl:miRNA